rnacentral:rRNA from 1 species
CCAGACUCCUACGGGAGGCAGCAGUGGGGAAUAUUGGGCAAUGGGCGAAAGCCUGACCCAGCAACGCCGCGUGAAGGAAGAAGGCUUUCGGGUUGUAAACUUCUUUUGACAGGGAAGAGCAGAAGACGGUACCUGUCGAAUAAGCCACGGCUAACUACGUGCCAGCAGCCGCGGUAAUACGUAGGUGGCAAGCGUUGUCCGGAUUUACUGGGUGUAAAGGGCGUGUAGCCGGGCUGACAAGUCAGAUGUGAAAUCCGGGGGCUCAACCCCCGAACUGCAUUUGAAACUGUUGGUCUUGAGUAUCGGAGAGGCAGGCGGAAUUCCUAGUGUAGCGGUGAAAUGCGUAGAUAUUAGGAGGAACACCAGUGGCGAAGGCGGCCUGCUGGACGACAACUGACGGUGAGGCGCGAAAGCGUGGGGAGCAAACAGGAUUAGAUACCCCAGUA